GGUUUAAUUCGAUGCAACGCGAAAACCUUACCUACCUUUGACAUGUACGGAAUUCGCCAGAGAUGGCUUAGUGCUCGAAAGAGAACCGUAACACAGGUGCUGCAUGGCUGUCGUCAGCUCGUGUCGUGAGAUGUUGGGUUAAGUCCCGCAACGAGCGCAACCCUUGUCAUUAGUUGCUACAUUUAGUUGGGCACUCUAAUGAGACUGCCGGUGACAAACCGGAGGAAGGUGGGAUGACGUCAAGUCCUCAUGGCCCUUAUAGGUAGGGCUACACACGUGCUACAAUGGCAUAUACAAAGAGAAGCGAACUCGCGAGAGCAAGCGGACCUCAUAAAGUAUGUCGUAGUCCGGAUUGGAGUCUGCAACUCGACUCCAUGAAGUUGGAAUCGCUAGUAAUCGUGGAUCAGCAUGCCACGGUGAAUACGUUCCCGGGCCUU
rnacentral:rRNA from 1 species